rnacentral:lncRNA from 1 species
ACUGCCCUGUGUUUUGUCUUAACCAAGGCCCUUUGGAAGAACUUGUAGGGACUGAACUCUACCUCUGGGUGCCAUCAUUUUAAACAUAUCCUUGUGAUCUUGAAUUCAUACACAGGAGGAUGCCCUUCUGCAAGUAAUGGAGAGUCUCCCCCCAAGAGUCUUCCCCCAGGUCUUUGAGGUCUGAGGAUCUUGCCUGACAGUUCUCUGUACUCUGGUCUCCCUCCCAUGGAGCGUGGGUAUCUGACACCCAUUUCUGACCUAUGUGGUCCUCAGGCAAACAUGUGCUGUACAGGAAGAAGUCCGAGAAAGGCUAAAGGAUGCAGGGACUGGUUUUGCUUUAGGUGGAGGGUCAGUUUACGGCCUGCCCAACCCAGCCCUGGCCUCAUCUUCGAGCCUCAGAGGGAAGCCUGUCUGUCACAUGGACCUACAGUUGCCACCAAUAACCAGCAUCCAUACCACGUCUGCAUGUACCAGUGCGAUAGAUGA